rnacentral:rRNA from 1 species
AUAGAGACUCAGAGCUGCAUAUCAAUAAGCGGAGGAAAAGAAACUAACAAGGAUUCCCUUAGUAACGGCGAGUGAAGCGGGAAGAGCUCAAAUUUGAAAUCUUCAAGGUUUUACCUUGACGAAUUGUAGUUUAAAGAAGUGUUUUCUGUUGGAGUUUUGGUAAAAGUUCUUUGGAAUAGGACAUCAUAGAGGGUGAGAAUCCCGUAUUUGGUCAUUCCUUCUAGCUUUGUGAUACACUUUCAAAGAGUCGGAUUGUUUGGGAAUGCAGUCCAAAAUGGGUGGUAAAUUUCAUCUAAAGCUAAAUAUUGGCGAGAGACCGAUAGCGAACAAGUACCGUGAGGGAAAGAUGAAAAGAACCUUGAAAAGAGAGUUAAACAGUACGUGAAAUUGUCAAAAGGGAAGCGUUUGACACCAGUGUUGUUUUUCCGAAAAUCAAUUACGAAUGUUUUGUUUUUGAGGAGUUAUGACUUCAUCGGCUUGCUCCUUUCUUUAUGAAACUUUCUUAAUGCACUUUUCGGUUAACAAGUCAACAUCAAUUUCUUUUGUUGUAAAAGAGGUCAUUGAGGAAGGUGGCUUUCUUUUCGGAGAAAGUGUUUAUAGCCUUUGUACUUCUGCAAUCGGAGAGAUUGAGGUCUGCAGCGUAGAUCCUUCGGGGUUAGAUACAUUUGUGCUAAGUUAUAGCCUUUCAUAGACAACUUGUUGACUAUGAUCAGUCAUGUAGCUUACUCGCUUAUGUCAUUUUACCUACGCUUAGGAUGUUGAAGAUAUGCGCGACACG